AACGAACGCUGGCGGCAGGCCUCAAACAUGCAAGUCUAGGGGUGUAGCAAUACACACCGGCGGACGGGUGCGUAACGCGUGGGAACAUACCUUUCGGUACGGAACAACCCAGGGAAACUUGGGCUAAUACCGUAUACGCCCUAACGGGGAAAGAAUUUCGCCGAAGGAUUGGCCCGCGUUCGAUUAGCUAGUUGGUGAGGUAACGGCUCACCAAGGCUACGAUCGAUAGCUGUUCUGAGAGGAAGAUCAGCCACACUGGGACUGAGACAC
rnacentral:rRNA from 1 species